rnacentral:rRNA from 1 species
CYUUAUGGCCAUAUCGCCCUGAGCAUGCCUGAUCUUGGACAUGAAGCAGGGUCGGGCCUGGUUAGUACUUGAAUGAGAGACCGCCUGGGAAUACCAGGUGCUGUAAGCU